CAUGCAGUCGUGCGACGGACCUUCUGGGGUUACCCAGAGGGUUACGGAGCGGCGGACGGCCGAGUAACGCGUAAGCAACCUGCCCCUCGGAGGGGGAUAACCCUCUGAAAAGGGGGCUAAUACCCCAUACGCUUAGGGAGGCGCAUGUCUCCUUAAGGAAAGGAAGGAAACUUCCGCCGAGGGAGGGGCUUGCGUCCUAUCAGCUAGUUGGUGAGGUAACGGCUCACCAAGGCGAUGACGGGUAGCUGGCCUGAGAGGGUGGUCAGCCGGACUGGGACUGAGACACGGCCCAGACUCCUACGGGAGGCAGCAGGGCGGAAUCUUGCGCAAUGCCCGAAAGGGUGACGCAGCGACGCCGCGUGAGGGAUGAAGCCCUUCGGGGUGUAAACCUCUUUUGCAGGGGAAGAAGUUCUGACGGUACCCUGCGAAUAAGUCCCGGCCAAUUACGUGCCAGCAGCCGCGGUAAAACGUGAGGGGCGAACGUUGUCCGGAAUCACUGGGCGUAAAGGGUACGCAGGCGGUGGAGAAAGUCGGGUGUGAAAGCCUCAGGCUUAACCUGAGGGGGACGCUCGAUACUUCUCCACUUUGAGGAAGGGAGAGGGAGGUGGAAUUCCCGGUGUAGCGGUGAAAUGCGCAGAUAUCGGGAGGAACACCAGUGGCGAAGGCGGCCUCCUAUCCCUUUCCUGACGCUCAGGUACGAAAGCUAGGGGAGCGAACCGGAUUAGAUACCCGGGUAGUCCUAGCCGUAAACGAUGGGUGCUAGGUGUUGGGGAGUUUAACCUCCUCAAUGCCGAAGCUAACGCAUUAAGCACCCCGCCUGGGG
rnacentral:rRNA from 1 species